rnacentral:rRNA from 1 species
GACGAGCGCUGGCGGCGUGCCUAAUACAUGCAAGUUGAGCGCUGAAGGUUGGUACUUGUACCAACUGGAUGAGCAGCGAACGGGUGAGUAACGCGUGGGGAAUCUGCCUUUGAGCGGGGGACAACAUUUGGAAACGAAUGCUAAUACCGCAUAAAAACUUUAAACACAAGUUUUAAGUUUGAAAGAUGCAAUUGCAUCACUCAAAGACGAUCCCGCGUUGUAUUAGCUAGUUGGUGAGGUAAAGGCUCACCAAGGCGAUGAUACAUAGCCGACCUGAGAGGGUGGUCGGCCACAUUGGGACUGGGACACGGCCCAAACUCCUACGGGAGGCAGCCGUAGGGGAACUUCGGCAAUGGACGAAAGUCUGACCGAGCAACGCCGCGUGAGUGAAGAAGGGUUUCGGAUCGUAAAACUCUGUUGGUAGAGAAGAACGUUGGUGGGAGUGGAAAGCUCAUCAAGUGACGGUAACUACCCAGAAAGGGACGGCUAACUACGUG